CCUACGGGCGGCAGCAGUGAGGAAUAUUGGUCAAUGGACGAGAGUCUGAACCAGCCAAGUAGCGUGAAGGAUGACUGCCCUAUGGGUUGUAAACUUCUUUUAUAAAGGAAUAAAACGAGGCACGUGUGCCUUUUUGCAUGUACUUUAUGAAUAAGGAUCGGCUAACUCCGUGCCAGCAGCCGCGGUAAUACGGAGGAUCCGAGCGUUAUCCGGAGUUAUUGGGUUUAAAGGGAGCGUAGAUGGGUUGUUAAGUCAGUUGUGAAAGUUUGCGGCUCAACCGUAAAAUUGCAAUUGAUACUGGCAGUCUUGAGUACAGUUGAGGUAGGCGGAAUUCGUGGUGUAGCGGUGAAAUGCUUAGAUAUCACGAAGAACCCCGAUUGCGAAGGCAGCUUACUAAACUGUGACUGACAUUGAUGCUCGAAAGUGUGGGUAGCAAACAGGAUUAGAUACCCUUGUAGUC
rnacentral:rRNA from 1 species